rnacentral:rRNA from 1 species
GAAUUUUGCGCAAUGGACGAAAGUCUGACGCAGCAACGCCGCGUGAGGGAUGAAGGCCUUCGGGUUGUAAACCUCUUUUGUCAGGGACGAUGAUGACGGUACCUGACGAAUAAGCCACGGCUAACUACGUGCCAGCAGCCGCGGUAAUACGUAGGUGGCAAGCGUUGUCCGGAUUUACUGGGCGUAAAGAGCGCGCAGGCGGUCGUUCAAGUCGCGUGUGAAAGCCCCCGGCUCAACUGGGGAGGGUCACGCGAUACUGGUCGACUCGAAGGCAGGAGAGGGUAGUGGAAUUCCCGGUGUAGUGGUGAAAUGCGUAGAUAUCGGGAGGAACACCAGUGGCGAAGGCGACUACCUGGCCUGUUUCUUGACGCUGAGGCGCGAAAGCUAGGGGAGCAAACGGG